GGAAACUAAGAGCAUCCACACAAUCACAACUAAAUAAAUGAGAAAAGGCAGAAAAGCCAUGAGAACACGAUCAAUCUUCAGGCUCAUCAACUUCUGGGGUCUCAACUUCAGCAGUCUCUUGCUCAGCUUCCUGCACCUCCUUCUCUGUCUUCUUUCCUUUCUUAGACUUAUAGUACACACUCAUGAAGGUUCCGAUGGCUCUAUACUUUUUCCUGCAGUUCUCAUAUAGGCUUCCAUCAAACAUUCUCCAGAAGUUCUUCUCCGUCAGCUCAGAGACAGCAUACUGUGGCUGGAAUCCAUGGUUCUCAAUCAACCAACUCUCCAACUUACGGACUGCCUCUA
rnacentral:lncRNA from 1 species